CGGGAAAUAGCUCAGCUUGGUAGAGCGUCACGUUCGGGGCGUGAAGGCCGCAAGUUCGAAUCCUGUUUUCCCGA
rnacentral:tRNA from 1 species